AAGCUCGUAGUUGAAUUUCGGGGUCAGUAGGUUGGUCGUGGCCACCGGUACGUACUGGUCUCACUGAUUCCUCCUUCCUGAUGAGCUGUAAUGCCAUUAAUUUGGUGUUGCAGGGAAUCUGGACUGUUACUUUGAACAAAUUAGAGUGUUUAAAGCAGGCUCGCGCUUGAAUACAUUAGCAUGGAAUAAUGAAAUAGGACGUUGAUCCUAUUUUGUUGGUUUCUAGGAUUGACGUAAUGAUUAAUAGGGAUAGUUGGG
rnacentral:rRNA from 1 species